CUGAAAUGAAAAGACACUGGCAGGUUACUUGAAGCCAUACAUAGAAAAAAAGAUCUCAGUUAAGGAACAUCGGCAUCAUCCGGGACUCAGGCGAGGCAAAUUUUCAUGUUCCACCAUGGACCUACUGAAUCAAAAAAUGGUCAUCAACACAGGACAACCAAGAGUGCAGAGAGAGAGACAGCCACCGAG